UACGGAGGGUGCAAGCGUUAAUCGGAAUUACUGGGCGUAAAGCGUGCGUAGGCGGUUCGUUAAGUCUGUUGUGAAAGCCCCGGGCUCAACCUGGGAAUGGCAAUGGAUACUGGCGAGCUAGAGUGUGUCAGAGGAUGGUGGAAUUCCCGGUGUAGCGGUGAAAUGCGUAGAGAUCGGGAGGAACAUCAGUGGCGAAGGCGGCCAUCUGGGACAACACUGACGCUGAGGCACGAAAGCGUGGAGAGCAAACAGG
rnacentral:rRNA from 1 species